GCGAUUCGACAUGAUCUGAUUUGUUGACUGUUUUGUUGUUUAUUUUUGUUUAUGGUUUAUAUUUUAUUGAAGAAUCAUUUUGUUAUUGUAUUUUUCUGAUUUAAUUUUUUUAACAAUAGAUUAUUUGUACCGUGAGGGGUUAUGUAAUUAUUUUUUUUAAAGUAAAAUUUAUUUUUUGUACCUUGUGUAUCAGGGUUCAUUGAAUUUUAUUAUUUAUUUUUAUUUCCCGAUUUUAAAGGAGUUAAUGAUUUAUAUUAUUUACUGUUUCAUUAGUAUUAAUAAUAUGUUGUUGGUAGUGAAAUGUUAUUCGCCUUUAAUGGUUUCUGGUUUUUCGAGAAAUGAAUUGAAUUCAUACAUUUUAUUUAAUUUCUGUUUUUGUUUUAUUAUUUUUUAUUUUAUGUAAAAAUUAUGGGGGAUUAGCUUCUUAUUUUAUUAUUAUAAUUAAUUUAUUCAAUUUAGUUUUGUGGAUUUUAUAUUGAUUUUCAAUUUGAUUAUGUUAAAAUUUUAUUUAUUUUUUUAUUUAUUUUGUUUUUAAUUUAAUUUAUUUAUUGGAAUGUUUAUUUUAUUUUUAUUUGUAUAAUAAUUAUUGUGUAAUUAGUAAAUUUAUUUUUUAUAUUAUUUUGAUAUUUAUGUUAAUUUCUAUUUAGGAAUUCGGCAAAAUUUCAUGUCCGCCUGUUUAACAAAAACAUCUUUUCUUGUUAGUUUUUGAAGUAAGGCCUGCCCACUGACUUAUUUGUUGAAGGGCCGCGGUAUUUUGACCGUGCAAAGGUAGCAUAAUCAUUAGUUCUUUAAUUGUGAUCUGGUAUGAAUGGCUUGACGAGACAUUAACUGUCUUGGUAUUAUUGUUUAUUGAAUUUAGUUUUUGAGUUAAAAUUCUUAGAUGUUUUUAUGGGACGAGAAGACCCUAUAGAGUUUUACAUUUGAUUGUAUUAGGUUUAGUUUGUUUUGUUUUUAUUAAUUUUAUUAAGUGUUUUGUUGGGGUGAUGGGAGGAAUAUUUUUAACUCCUCUUUAUUUUUUUAUAUUGAUUUAUAUUUUUUUGAUCCAUUUAUUUUGAUUAUAAGAUUAAAUUACCUUAGGGAUAACAGCGUUAUCUUCCUUGAGAGUUCUUAUUGGCAGGGAGGUUUGCGACCUCGAUGUUGGAUUAAGGUGAAUUUUCGGUGCAGGAGCUGAAAAGUGAUUAGGUCUGUUCGACCUUUAAAAUCUUACAUGAUCUGAGUUCAGACCGGCGUGAGCCAGGUCGGUUUCUAUCUAUAAUUUUUUAUUAUACCUUAGUACGAGAGGACCGGGUAUUUGAAAUAAUUUUAUUUAUAUGAUUUAUAUUAAUUUGGUUACUAUUUUGGCAGAUAAGUGCAUUGGAUUUAGAAUCUAUU
rnacentral:rRNA from 1 species